CACCUCCUUCUGGGAUGUUCCGAGAUGGGGAUUCUGAGCUGGCCAGUCCCUGGCUUCUCGUCUCUACUAUCCAAUUUUAUCUCCCUUUACUUCAUGUCCAUGUCAUGCUACCUCUAUUCUGCUGCCAGCCAUCCACCAAGGCAAGCAACAAUCAUAAUGAAAAGGAGAAGAUGGCCAACAGGAGCAGUGGAUUCAUGGUGCAAGAACCCAGCCCCAGCUAUGAUCCUGAAGGCAAAAAACAAA